rnacentral:rRNA from 1 species
GAUGAACGCUGCGGCGUGCCUAAUACAUGCAAGUCGAGCGAACAGACGAGGAGCUUGCUCCUCUGACGUUGGCGGCGGACGGGUGAGUAACACGUGGAUAACCUACCUAUAAGACUGGGAUAACUUCGGGAAACCGGAGCUAAUACCGGAUAAUAUAUUGAACCGCAUGGUUCAAUAGUGAAAGACGGUUUUGCUGUCACUUAUAGAUGGAUCCGCGCCGCAUUAGCUAGUUGGUAAGGUAACGGCUUACCAAGGCAACGAUGCGUAGCCGACCUGAGAGGGUGAUCGGCCACACUGGAACUGAGACACGGUCCAGACUCCUACGGGAGGCAGCAGUAGGGAAUCUUCCGCAAUGGGCGAAAGCCUGACGGAGCAACGCCGCGUGAGUGAUGAAGGUCUUCGGAUCGUAAAACUCUGUUAUUAGGGAAGAACAAAUGUGUAAGUAACUAUGCACGUCUUGACGGUACCUAAUCAGAAAGCCACGGCUAACUACGUG